UACGUAGGGGGCAAGCGUUGUCCGGAUUUAUUGGGCGUAAAGAGCGUGUAGGCGGCCAGGUAGGUCAGCUGUGAAAACUCGAGGCUCAACCUCGAGACGUCGGUUGAAACCGUCUGGCUAGAGUCCGGAAGAGGAGAGUGGAAUUCCCGGUGUAGCGGUGAAAUGCGCAGAUAUCAGGAAGAACACCCGUGGCGAAGGCGGCUCUCUGGGACGGUACUGACGCUGAGACGCGAAAGCGUGGGGAGCGAACAGGAUUAG
rnacentral:rRNA from 1 species